AUUGAACGCUGGCGGCAGGCCUAACACAUGCAAGUCGAACGAGUGGCGGACGGGUGAGUAAUGUCUGGGAAUCUGCCUGAUGGAGGGGGAUAACUACUGGACACUGUAGCUACUACCGCAUACCAUCAGAUGUGCCCAGGUGGGAUUAGCUUGUUGGUGGGGUAACGGCUCACCAAGGCGACGAUCCCUAGCUGGUCUGAGAGGAUGACCAGCCACACUGGAACUGAGACACGGUCCAGACUCCUACGGGAGGCAGCAGUGGGGAAUAUUGCACAAUGGGCGAAAGCCUGAUGCAGCCAUGCCGCGUGUAUGAAGAAGGCCUUCGGGUUGUAAAGUACUUUCAGCGGGGAGGCGUUACCCACAGAAGAAGCACCGGCUAACUCCGUGCCAGCAGCCGCGGUAAUUC
rnacentral:rRNA from 1 species